UGCGUGGCCUAGAACGCGGAGCUCAGCCGCUCCUAGCCCCAGAGGGCAACGGCGCUUCCUCCGCCUCGGUCUCCUCGCUCCCUGCCUCAGCCCAAGAAAAGAAGUGAUUCAUUUAGCUAAAAAGAACAGUUAAGAGUGGGUGGACAGACUUCUCAUUCAGUGGUCCAGCUCCAACAUGCCCCCUCUUCCCUGUCCCCGAGAGCCCUUUGGAAGUGUGGCCGGAAUCCCACUGGUAUGAACUGAAUGUAGAUGCGGAACACACAAACUUGGCUCUCGAGAAGCACAGAGCCGUUCAGGAUACACAACUCAUACUCAGGUUUUCUUAAAGUGCUUGAAGAAAAGGGCAAAUAAAGGAGAAACCCAAGCCAACAGGGACAGCGGCUCUGAAAGACACAUGUAGUGUUAAAGCUUCUCCAGUACUUAGGAUGGCGCUCAACAUAUGGAGGAUCCCUGCCUCUC
rnacentral:lncRNA from 1 species